rnacentral:rRNA from 1 species
UGGCUCAGAACGAACACUUGGCGGCGUGGAUUAGGCAUGCAAGUCGCGCGAGAAAGUUCCCUUCGGGGAACGAGUACAGCGGCGAAAGGGUGAGUAACGCAUGGGUAACGUGCCCUUCGCACGAGGAUAGCUGCGGGAAACUGCAGGUAAUACUCGAUGAGACCACGGCUCCCCAAGGAGCAGCGGUCAAAGGUGGGGAUCCCUUCGGGGACCUGCCGGCGAAGGAGCGGCCCAUGUCUUAUCAGCUUGUUGGUGAGGUAACGGCUCACCAAGGCGACGACGGGUAGCGGGACUGAGAGGUUGGCCCGCCACACUGGGACUGAGACACUGCCCAGACUCCUACGGGAGGCUGCAGUCGAGAAUCUUCCGCAAUGGGCGCAAGCCUGACGGAGCGACGCCGCGUGCGGGAAGAAGCCCUUCGGGGUGUAAACCGCCGUCAGGGACUACCAAGCAAAGAGGGUGAAUAGCCCUCUGCGGUGAGGAGUCCCAACGGAAGCCACGGCUAACUUCGUGCCAGCAGCCGCGGUAAGACGAANGUGGCAAGUGUUGUUCGGAAUCACUGGGCUUAAAGGGCACGUAGGCGGACCGUCAAGCGUCUUGUGAAAGCCCUCGGCUCAACCGAGGAAUCGCAGGGCGAACUGACGGUCUUGAGGCAGGCAGGGGCGAGUGGAACUCUCGGUGGAGCGGUGGAAUGCGUAGAUAUCGAGAGGAACGCCGGAGGCGAAGGCGACUCGCUGGGCCUGACCUG